rnacentral:rRNA from 1 species
GAUGAACGCUGGCGGCGUGCCUAAUACAUGCAAGUAGAACGCUGAAGCUUGGUGCUUGCACCGAGCGGAUGAGUUGCGAACGGGUGAGUAACGCGUAGGUAACCUGCCUCUUAGCGGGGGAUAACUAUUGGAAACGAUAGCUAAUACCGCAUAAAAGUCGAUAUCGCAUGAUAUUGAUUUGAAAGGUGCAAAUGCAUCACUAAGAGAUAGACCUGCGUUGUAUUAGCUAGUUGGUGAGGUAACGGCUCACCAAGGCGACGAUACAUAGCCGACCUGAGAGGGUGAUCGGCCACACUGGGACUGAGACACGGCCCAGACUCCUACGGGAGGCAGCAGUAGGGAAUCUUCGGCAAUAGGGGCAACCCUGACCGAGCAACGCCGCGUGAGUGAAGAAGGUUUUCGGAUCGUAAAGCUCUGUUGUAAGAGAAGAACGAGUGUGAGAGUGGAAAGUUCACACUGUGACGGUAACUUACCAGAAAGGGACGGCUAACUACGUG